rnacentral:rRNA from 1 species
GACGAACGCUGGCGGCGUGCUUAACACAUGCAAGUCGAACGGAAAGGCCCUGCUUUUGUGGGGUGCUCGAGUGGCGAACGGGUGAGUAACACGUGAGUAACCUGCCCUUGACUUUGGGAUAACUUCAGGAAACUGGGGCUAAUACCGGAUAGGAGCUCCUGCUGCAUGGUGGGGGUUGGAAAGUUUCGGCGGUUGGGGAUGGACUCGCGGCUUAUCAGCUUGUUGGUGGGGUAGUGGCUUACCAAGGCUUUGACGGGUAGCCGGCCUGAGAGGGUGACCGGCCACAUUGGGACUGAGAUACGGCCCAGACUCCUACGGGAGGCAGCAGUGGGGCAUAUUGCACAAUGGGCGGAAGCCUGAUGCAGCAACGCCGCGUGCGGGAUGACGGCCUUCGGGUUGUAAACCGCUUUCGCCUGUGACGAAGCGUGAGUGACGGUAAUGGGUAAAGAAGCACCGGCUAACUACGUG